AAACAUGUAAGAAUCAGAGAUAUUUAUGGAAAAUGAUGAUACUUUCUUUACUUCCAGGUAUUAGAGGAAUAUGAUUCGAAAGAGGCUUUCUUGGCCUUCUGCCUUCCACCAUUAGAUGAUGCAGCAAGAAGACCAUCACCAGGUACUGACACACCUUAAUUUUGGACUUUCCAGCCUCCAGAAGCAUGAGAAAUAAAUUUAUUUUCUUUAUAAAUUA